CCUUCUGUGAUUUUUUUGGGGGGCCCCGUUAUUGGAGUUCGAUUGGGGGAUCGCUUUCGAGAGGGGUUCGCCCUCGCCGCACUGCUCAGUAACACGCGUACAAUCUGCCCUCCAGACGGGGAUUGUCCUGGGAAACUGGCGAUAAUACCCGAUAGGUCUGAUUUGAUGGAUGGCUCUCAUGUCGAAAUCUUGCGGUGCUCGGGGAUGGGGCUGCUCCCUACCAAGUACUCAGGGGUUUCACGGAGCCCCUAACCCUACACGGGUACGGGCUUUGGCCCAACUCUCCCGGACAUGGAUUCUGAUAUUCGAAUCCAGGCCCUACGGGACGCCUGAUGACGCGAAACCUGCCCUAUGUGGGAAACCACGAUGCGUAAACUCCCAGUGCUUACACUAAGUGUAAGCUGUUCUCGAACCUUAUUCGCUCGAGAAGUAAUAUCCGGGUAUGACAGUUGCCAGCCGCCUCGGUAAUACCCGCGGCCCGAGUGGCGCUCAGUAUUAUUGAGCCUAAAGAGUCGGUACCUGGCCGGGCAAAUCUCUGAGUAAAUCGGCCGGCUCAACCGUGUGAAGUCCGGAGACACUGCUAGACUUGGGAUGGAGAGAAGGAGUAGGUUCUCCCUGGGGAGGGGUAAUAUCCUGUUAUCCGGAGGAGCCCCACAGGGGGGAAGGCUUUCUCAUAGAACGAAUCUGACAGUGAGGGAAGAAGCCCUAGGGCGCAAACGAGAAUAGAUCCCCCGGUUGUCUAGGGUGUAAACCCUGCAGACUUGGUGUCGGGGCUCAAUGCGUGGACUUCCCGUGCCGGAGUGAAGAGUGUUAAGUCUCAAACUCGCAGGAGUACGGUUCC
rnacentral:rRNA from 1 species